UACGUAGGGUGCGAGCGUUAAUAGGAAUUACUGGGCGUAAAGUGUGCGCAGGCGGCCGAGCAAGUCGAGUGUGAAAGCCCCGAGCUUAACUUGGGAACUGCGCUCGAAACUACUUGGCUAGAGUGUGGCAGAGGGAGGUGGAAUUCCACGUGUAGCGGUGAAAUGCGUAGAGAUGUGGAGGAACACCGAUGGCGAAGGCAGCCUCCUGGGCCAACACUGACGCUCAUGCACGAAAGCGUGGGGAGCAAACAGG
rnacentral:rRNA from 1 species